CGGAGGGGGCUAGCGUUAUUCGGAAUUAUUGGGCGUAAAGGGCGCGUAGGCGGCUUGAUAAGUCAAAGGUGAAAUCCCUCGGCUCAACUGAGGAACUGCCUUUGAAACUAUCGAGCUUGAGGCCGGGAGGGGGUAGCGGAAUUCCCAGUGUAGCGGUGAAAUGCGUAGAUACUGGGAGGAACACCGGUGGCGAAGGCGGCUACCUGGACCGGUUCUGACGCUGAGGCGCGAAAGCGUGGGUAGCAAACAGGAUUAGAUACCCUGGUAGUCCACGCUGUAAACGAUGGGUGCUCGGUGUCGCGGGUAUCGACCCCUGCGGUGCCUUAGCUAACGCGUUAAGCACCCCGCCUGGGGAGUACGGUCGCAAGGCUG
rnacentral:rRNA from 1 species